GCCUUGUGCCUGAAAGGGCGACGGUGCUGAGCCGGAGCGAGAAGUCAGCAGAGGCCGUAGUAGCCGCUGGUAUGGGGGCAAAGGGC
rnacentral:ncRNA from 1 species